rnacentral:rRNA from 1 species
UACAUAGGGUGCAAGCGUUAAUCGGAAUUACUGGGCGUAAAGCGUGCGCAGGCGGCUUUGCAAGACAGUUGUGAAAUCCCCGGGCUCAACCUGGGAACUGCAUCUGUGACUGCAUCGCUGGAGUACGGUAGAGGGGGAUGGAAUUCCGCGUGUAGCAGUGAAAUGCGUAGAUAUGCGGAGGAACACCGAUGGCGAAGGCAAUCCCCUGGACCUGUACUGACGCUCAUGCACGAAAGCGUGGGGAGCAAACAGG